ensembl:lncRNA
AACCCACUUGGAAUGUUUCAUCAAAUUAGCAUCGCUGUGAACGAUGUCUCUUAUGGUACCUCGUUAUUCUGUUGAAUCGAGUGUCUCACCCAUGAUCUAUCUUGGCUGAAUGGUCUGACUGAAUCGACAAUCAAUGUGUAGUUAUUCAUGAGGCAAGGUUAUUUCCAGGUUAACCUGUGUUGACUCGCCUUUUUGAAGUGGUUUGGAAUGUGUUUGUCCAGUCGUGGCUACCUUCUCCCCCACACUCCCGGCUCUGAGCAAACUGAGGCUCCCUUUGUUUUGGUCCAUCCUUAUUGAUCCUUCUACCCCAGUCGAGAGUGACCCUGUCGGCACUGUGGGUACAAUGUGGGAAUUCUGUGGAAUAUUUGGUAUGCUUGGAUUCCAUGUGGUUCCUCUGCCAGUUGGCGGCCAGGCUGACUGGCACCAUGCCUGGAUGUGUACAGACAUUAGCCGUAACCAUGGGAACCGCUUGGUUGGUAGCCAGUCGGACAGGACAGGACGGCAGGCACAGGAAUCCAUGCUGUGCCAGUUUAUUCGGUAUUUAACCUGCAAAUGUUUUUGUAGCCAACAGAAUCAAGCGAGGCCAUGGUCGAUGUGGGUUGGCCGGUUUCGGGACAAUUCGUAUUGAAUACUAGAAAAGGCACAUUUUAGGAGAAGUACAUGUUUGUCCUGAAUGAUCACUAAAUACAUUGAUACUGAAACUGCCACCCUAGAUGUAAUUUUGUGAGGUUUCGAAAUCAAGGAUGGUGUUCUGUGUCUCUCGCGCUCUCUCUCUCUCUCAGCCACCCCCCCCAACUCCCGCUCCUCACCCCCAUGGAUGCGCCCAUUGGCUGCACUGGGGGGUAUUAAUUUGGGCACACCGUAACAAGCAGAGUGAGGUGAGUGGGUAAAGGUUGUCAGGCAGAGUGAGGUGGAUUGGUAAAGGUUGUCAGGCAGAGUGAGGUGGAUUGGUAAAGGUUGUCAGGCAGAGUGAGGUGGAUGGGUAAAGGUUGUCAGGCAACCAGUGUUGAUCAUGCUGAUGUCUGCAUAACAGUCCAUCCAAGUCAAUGUUACUCAUGUAUGCUGCUCAGACAUCACUGGAAAUGGAACUCCCACACAACUAAACAUAGUCGUUUUUCAACUCUGGUAUAAGAGUUAAAUUUUUUAAAGAACGGUUUACAAGAGCUAGCACCUUGUUUAAUGAUUCAACAGACUUUUUACCUUAUUGGUUUGGGAUUCAAACUCUGUUACUGUCCCAGUGCUCAACUGCUGUCUUCCUCCCUGUUCUAAUGCUCUUUGCCUCAUUCCUCUCUCAGCAAGGGUAUACUGUGGUUUAGAUGAUGUCAUCUGGAGACUAUAGAAAGUACUUUAUUUCGGUACCCAGAAGAGAGUAUGUGUCUGGCUGAGAGAGAGGAGGAAGGAGACAAGAUUUUACCCUGGACCCAGUUUUAAUUUUCCUUUCAAUCUGGAUUUAGAAAUAGCAAAUCAGAUGUCCUUUGUCAUGUUAAUAACAACACAUUCUUUGUUCCACAAGGACCCCCCUGUAAGUUUUGGGACAGUAAUACCUUUUGCUAUUUGGAGUCCUGAGAAAUGCUUGCUAAUAAAUGAAGAAAAAAAAACAACAACUGUCUGACACAUCAGGAGUGCUCUGGGAGGUUGACCGGAUUUAUCAGCCACUACCAUUGGCAGAAGACUUUACCAGCAGAACUACAGAGGCCACACUGCAAGCUACAAACUGCUUGCCUCAGAAACAAGAUGGCCUGCUAACAGUUGGCUAAAAGAGCCCUUGGCGUUGUGGAAAAAAAGAUAAUGUGGACAGCUGAGACAUCAUACAAAAGUGAUUGCAAGGCGAAAGUCCAAAGGCAACUGCCCAGGGUUUUUAUGGCUUUGCUACGUCUGGCUGUCACUGGGACCGGCCCAUUUGUCUUAAUCGAUGAUGUAACUGUUGACAGCAGCAGACUGCCUUCUAAAGCAUACAGGACCGUCUUGUUUGCUGUGGCGGACUAGCAAAUGCCUUCAAACUACUAUAAUUAAACAGUGCUUUGUUAUACCACAAGACAGUGGCCACAAACAUACUGUCAUAAAAUUUCCAAUACAUCCAGAUGAACAUGCCUUUAAUUGGCUCAAGAUGAAAGCUACAAGGCAGAAGCAACAACAGCGGAACACAGCUGCAGUAUUCAGCCGUCACCAGAGAAAACUUUCAGAGUAAAGAGCCAAAAGAUGAAAACGAUCCUUGUUAAUUAUGGAUUGCACUGUAUUUCUACAGUUUAACCUGGUUUAGGUGUGUGUAGGUGUGGAGUGUGUGAGACUGUAUCUCUGCAUGUGUCAUGGCUCAAGAUACCUCUCACUAACAAGAUUAGGCAUGGAUGGUUAGGGUGGUAGGAGGACAGUGAGGAGAGAACAGCUCAUCUGAAACAUUCAGGGAAUAGAUUAGGCUUUAGUCACAAGGAACAGGACAGAGAACAGGUGACCAGCCAGCACAGAUAUUAAUUGGCCAAGAGAGGGAUUAGUGACGCUAAACACCUUUCCCGCUGUUGUCUUUCUUGGACAAACCAAGCGACCAUCCGCAUAUCCGCAGGCCAAACAGGGAGAGAUCAAGAAGCCUGGCUUACUGCUGUUUCCCAUGACAUUGGUCUCUCUUGGGCCAACCAAACAAGCGACGACCUAGCGAAGCUCUUGAGCACUGAGUUAAAGAAGCUUCGACAAGAAGAUCGUCAACAAGCUUGACAAGAAGCUUUACAGGAAGCACAACCUGACUUGACUGAGAUCAAAGUCAAGAUGUCAAAGGACAAGCUAGAGGGUCUGGUGAAGCGCAUGGAGGUGACCCUGACUGAGAUGGAGUCCUUGAAGAUCCACUGCGGGAAGCAGAGUGAAGAACUGAACCAACUGGUGGUGGAACUCCGCAGGGAGAACCAGGAGCUGCUGGAGAAAUACAAUCAGCUGGCCCAAGAGAUGAAAGAGGCCAGGGAGAUUAUAGAACAACUACAGGACACCAAGUUUGCAUUUGACGCCAAGGAAAGACAGGCUCGUAAACUCAGCAAGCAGCUCUGAGAAGGAUUCUGGGGGAGUGGGUGAAAUGGGAGCGGGGGAAACCCUACUCGCUACGAACUGUUAACCUAAAUACAAUGGUGUGGUAAGACCUGUCGAUGUCACUUUGAAUUCAUGCUAGUUGACCAGAUAUCAGCCAGAUGUAGAGGUUGAUCUGUGCCCAGAGGAUAGGGUGAGGAAAAAGGGACUGGGUGGAUGAGGUGCUUGGGAUGAGGCAGGGCGAUGCGGCCGUCUAGGUGACUACGGUUAGGUAUUCAGUUGUUGGGUGAAACUUUGUAAAGCAUCUUGGGAAAUUGGGUUGAUUGCAUUCUGGAGGAAAAGGCCUGUUUUGUGGUUUGAGUCAGGGUUUCUAUGUAGAUGUCUUUUUCUUUCUGAAAUGUGUAGAUUGUUGUUAUCUCUGUCCGUGAAUGGAAGUGUGUGUGCGGGGGUGGUUACAUGCUUAGGGUGAGUGUGUGGACAGUGACAAGGAGGGAUUACAAGUUAUGUGAUGUGACCUUUACUCCCCCCCCCCCCCCCCCCCCCCCCAAAGAUCUUCCUGAGCCCUGAGAUCUCAAGUCCUUAACUGCUAAACUGGACCAGAGAAAAUCUUUAGCUUCUAUCCAAUUACUUAACUUCAGUGUUUGACUAGGUGGUAUAGUGUUCACAGGGUGAAAACAGCAUCUGAUACUGGAUUGGAUAAUUCUGUUCUCCCUGGGACGUGGGCAUGUGAGAACUGGCCCAUUGGGAAGUGCUUAAGAAUCUGGACCUCAAAGCAAGUUCCGCUGAUUAUUUUCAGUUCUUUUUUUCAUUGUUUGUUCUAUUUCAUAAGGGACUGAAAUCAAAUGUAGGUAAUCAAAUGUAGGUGCAUUUGAUUACCAGCUAAAACAGAAAAUCAGCAGUACCACUAGAAUUGGAUUUGUAUAUCCCUGUUUUGUAUAACACAGUACUUGAGAUUGCAAUCAGAUGAGCCCUCUACACAACCUGUUCCUCUGUACAAAACUGCUGGCACAAUGAGAAGAUCAGGACACACCUGACUGUUGCAAAGGAGCCAUUCACUGAUGGGCAUUGGGCCCGGCCCAGGAGCUGCUGUCCUUUAUUCAUAUUCAUUUGGGCACGCAUACACUUGUUGGAUACACAGGAUGGACGUUUUUCACAAUGGACAAUGGAGCUCUUGGGUGAUGUUUCUAUUAGAUACAGAUCUAGGGUCAGUUUCCGCUAAGUACAGAUCUAGGAUCAGAUUCCGCUAGGUACAGAUCUAGGAUCAGUUUCCGCUAGGUACAGAUCUAGGGUCAGUUUCCUUUAGGUACAGAUCUAGUAUCAGAGUCCACUAGGUACAGAUCAUUUGUUGCACUCUCUGACUUAAUGCCCAUCCCCCACCAUGCUACUCUGCCUGUGGUUAACCUAGUCUAGCAAGUGUUCAAAGAAACGCCUGAAAUGAGAUCCUUCACGUAAUGUUUUUCCAUUAUGGGUUGGGUUCUCUUCUGCGCAAACCAUCCAGUGAACGUGGACGACGAGCAAAUAAGGAGUGCCACCCUUUUAACAUCCAAAGGCAGAAAUCUUUUUCCACAGGCUCUCUAUCCGUUUUCCUGAAAACCGGAACUUCCAAUUGCAGGAGACAUUGUGGAGGGUGGACUAUCAUGCUGCCAAGGCAUGGGGAGAACCUUCUUCUGGUCUGACCUGGCCUCUCACAGAAGGAAUAAAGACAUUUACAUUCAAGUACUCUAGCAGACACUCCAACAGAGGUAUUUUCAGUAAUGAUUCCUGCCCAGCAUCCUGGCAUUUCAAGCGCCAUGCACUAUCAACUGAGCAAUGUAGAAACAUAUUAUUUUGCUACAUUUCCUACUUUCAUGUCCCAAAAAGUGCAUCACAUUCCAAGAGUUUAUGAUAAAGUUAACGAUUUCACCAAAAUGUAAUUGUGACUUUUAAAUAAACUCCUUGAUGAUUAUGUGACAAUCUUUCUUGAGAGUUUUUCUUCUCACACUAUUAAUGCUGAGGGAGGAAUUCUGUUGUGGUCUCAAUACAUCCCAAUCUUCAACUCGCCUGCAUGUGCUAGGGAGUUACCGCGUAAAUGC